rnacentral:rRNA from 1 species
UACGUAGGGUGCGAGCGUUGUCCGGAAUUAUUGGGCGUAAAGAGCUUGUAGGCGGUUUGUCGCGUCUGCUGUGAAAAUCCGGGGCUCAACCCCGGACUUGCAGUGGGUACGGGCAGACUGGAGUGUGGUAGGGGAGACUGGAAUUCCCGGUGUAGCGGUGAAAUGCGUAGAUAUCGAGAGGAACACCUGCGGCGAAGGCGGGUAGCUGGGCCGACACUGACGCUGAGGCGCGAAAGCCAGGGGAGCGAACGGG